UCUUUGUUAGAAAGUUGAAGCAAAUAGUACGGUAACACACAAAUGUUUUGUUUGCUGCUCAUCACAGUAAACGCAGUAGAAACAAACAUAGCCGUCUUUGUUGUUCUCCUCAACUGUGUAUGUAUAAUUUUUCUUCUAUAGACCGGCAAUUAUAGAAGUGGGAAGUGCGUUAAGAAUUUAUUGUAAUUAUGUUUGAUAAUCGCUCAAAUUCUCGGAAUGGAAAUCGGGACUCUCGCCGUGGUGGUGAUCCAAAUGAGGAUGUCCCUCCGAUGUCCCGUUUAUUUAUUAUUUGCAACAAAGCUCAUAGAGAAGAAGAUUUUAGGGAGGCAUUUUCUCGUUUUGGUCACAUAGAGGAUAUUUGGGUGGUAAAGGACCGUCACACUGGCGAAAAUAAAGGAAUAACAUACAUAAAGUAUUCAAAAACAACGGAAGCAGCUCGAGCCCAAGAGGAGAUGAAUGGAAAAACAAUUGGGUCAUUGGAUCGUACGCUCAAAGUUCUCGUUGCUGCAAACCGUAAUCAAGGUUCAAGCAAGUCUGAGAAUGAACAUGAGAAAUAUGUACGCCUUUUUAUUGUGUGCCCCAAAACCGCGACCGAGGAGGACUUAAAAGAUGAAUUCAGUCAGUGGGCCCCAGUUGAAAAUGUCACUUUGGUGCGUGACAAGCAAAGUGGAAAUUCUAAAGGCUUUGCUUACAUUCGCUUUUCGAAAUUCUACGAUGCCGCUGUGGCAUUUGAAAAUUGUCCAGCUCAUUACAAAGCGAUGUUUGCUGAGCCAAAAGGAAGUACCACACGCAACCGCGAUCAAUACAGCGGUCGAGAUGACUCAAUUAUGAGCGGACGGGGUGCUGGCCCGAUUGGUAGUGGAGGUUUCGGUGGUGGAAAUAUGAACUGCAUGCCAAUGGGAGGGGGAGCAAACUUUAAUAAUGGCUUCAACGACUGGGGUAACAAUUCAUUCAACAAUAAUAUGUCGCAAUUCAUGGGCAUGCAAAACACACCAGUAUCGCAACCAACUUGUUUGGAAGUUAUUGUGAGCAAUUGUGUGAAUCAAGAUCAAUUGUGGCGACUUUUUGAUAUUAUUCCUGGCCUGGACUAUUGUCAAAUAGUUAGAGAACAUGAUCCACGAACAAACGAAGCUCUUGUUGUGUACGAUAAUCCAGAAGCCGCUAUUUACGCUAAGGACAAGUUACACGGACUAGAAUAUCCAAUAGGUGAACGUUUGAUCAUACAAGUUUCGGGAAUGAGCGGCGGUAACCAUAUUGAUACAUCAUUCAUUGAUAGACGUCCAAAAAAGGAUUCCAUUUGCAACGUUCCCUUGCCUGAUGCCCAGCCUUUAGCCCCAAUUGAUGCCCCCGUGGCCCAGAGAUUGUUUAUUGUAUUAACAGCGAAUUUGCCCAUUUCUAUAUUAAAAAAUGUAUUCUCAUGCUGGAGAGGUUUGGUCGAUGUUUACCUAUUGCCAAAUAAGAACUGUGGUUAUGUUAAAUAUGCCGAUCGCGAUUCUGCUCAGUCUGCAAUGAGAGUUUUACAUGGAGCUGAAAUUUGCGGCACCAAAAUAAAGGUUUUAAAAGCGGAAGAACGCGGCAAUGGCGAGGAAGACGAUGGUCGCAAGCGAAUGCGUAGGAAUUAAAUGUAAGUUCCAUUUCAAAUAAGAAAAAUUGUUUAUUCCUUUGGGAAACUCAAAAAAGACAUGAAAUCAAAGACAAAUGUUUAAGAAUGUGAUCUAGGUAAAAACGCAGAUACCUUCUAUAUUUCAUACAAGAAUAAAUUGUAUCGGACAACCCUUCAACUCUACUUCAGCAAUUGGGAUAAAACAAAAAACGGAUUACAUACUGAUGGACAUGGACCUACAUUCUUCUUUAUAUCUCAAAAACUCAAUUCCAAUUUCAAAUGCAUACCCGGACCACUUCUCUAUUGAAAUCAAUUCCCAUAACAUUCUGCAGACAGACAAGACUGUUAAAGGGAUUUGAAUGAAAUAAACUAUUAAACGUACAAUUUACAAGCAGUACGUCGGAUUUAUUUCACGAUAUCGGCGACAAACAUGUUUCUCCCAAGUCACAUGAAGAACAAGGGUUAAUAUAAACUAUAAUUAUGAACACGGACUAAUUUUAAAUAGAUCUUGACAAACACAUAUAAAAAUAUUUUAUUGUACACUGCAUUUAAAUGCACCGGUUGAUAAGACCGUACAUUUUUCUUAUACAAAUAUUUUUUAACUACAUUUAUUGAUAUAUACAUUGCAAUAACAUCAUUUUAAUGGAUUAAAUAUAUUAAUAAAAUAAACAUUUCUUAAAUACA